UGGGGAAUAUUGCACAAUGGGCGAAAGCCUGAUGCAGCAACGCCGCGUGAGUGAUGAAGGCCUUCGGGUUGUAAAGCUCUGUCUUUUGGGACGAUAAUGACGGUACCAAAGGAGGAAGCCACGGCUAACUACGUGCCAGCAGCCGCGGUAAUACGUAGGUGGCAAGCGUUGUCCGGAUUUACUGGGCGUAAAGGAUGCGUAGGCGGAUUUUUAAGUGAGAUGUGAAAACCCUAAGCUUAACUUGGGGACUGCAUUUCAUACUGGAAAUCUAGAGUGCGGGAGAGGAGAAUGGAAUUCCUAGUGUAGCGGUGAAAUGCGUAGAGAUUAGGAAGAACACCAGUGGCGAAGGCGAUUCUCUGGACCGUAACUGACGCUGAGGCAUGAAAGCGUGGGUAGCAAACAGGAUUAGAUACCCUGGUAGUCCACGCCGUAAACGAUGAGUACUAGGUGUAGGAGGUAUCGACCCCUUCUGUGCCGCAGUUAACACAAUAAGUACUCCGCCUGGGAAGUACGAUCGCAAGAUUAAAAACUCAAAGGAAUUGAC
rnacentral:rRNA from 1 species